rnacentral:rRNA from 1 species
UACAGAGGGGGCAAGCGUUGUUCGGAAUUACUGGGCGUAAAGGGCGCGUAGGCGGUUUGACCAGUCAGGUGUGAAAUUCCCGGGCUUAACCUGGGGGCUGCACUUGAUACUGUCAGGCUUGAAUUCGGGAGAGGAUAGCGGAAUUCCCAGUGUAGAGGUGAAAUUCGUAGAUAUUGGGAAGAACACCGGUGGCGAAGGCGGCGACCUGGUCCUUGACUGACGCUGAGGCGCGAAAGCGUGGGGAGCAAACAGG